GCUCCAUUCUUGCCACCAGUGAUCAAAAAGCUGUAGAAGUGAAAGGGGUGCACUCCCAUCCACUAAUGGCUUCUAGCAAUAAAGAUUAUUCAAAAUGAGAAAUUCUAUUAUACUCUAUUCUAGUAGUAAGAGUUUCCCUAGGAUUCACUUUAUCAGCAAAUAAUAGAGCUGGGGGCAAUUGGCCAAAACCCAUCUGCCUGA
rnacentral:lncRNA from 1 species